rnacentral:pre_miRNA from 1 species
AGACACCCUUCUGGGGCAAGACUUGCUUCAGUGGGGCUUUGGUGCUCACUGAAUCUGCUCCCUGAGCGUGUCGCU